rnacentral:rRNA from 1 species
GACGAACGCUGGCGGCGUGCUUAACACAUGCAAGUCGAACGGAAAGACCCUGCUUUUGUGGGGUGCUCGAGUGGCGAACGGGUGAGUAACACGGGAGUAACCUGCCCUUGACUUUGGGAUAACUUCAGGAAACUGGGGCUAAUACCGGAUAGGAGCUCCUGCUGCAUGGUGGGGGUUGGAAAGUUUCGGCGGUUGGGGAUGGACUCGCGGCUUAUCAGCUUGUUGGUGGGGUAGUGGCUUACCAAGGCUUUGACGGGUAGCCGGCCUGAGAGGGUGACCGGCCACAUUGGGACUGGGAUGCGGCCCGGACUCCUACGGGAGGCAGCAGUGGGGGAUAUUGCACAAUGGGCGGAAGCCUGAUGCAGCAACGCCGCGUGCGGGAUGACGGCCUUCGGGUUGUAAACCGCUUGCGCCUGUGACGAAGAGUGAGUGACGGUAAUGGAUAAAGAAGCACCGGCUAACUACGUG